CCGAGUUUUGUUUGUUCUGCAAACAACUCCCACCCUUUGUUAACAAUAACUGUUGCUUCGGCGAGCCGAUUUUUGAGCAGUCAAAAACUGUCGGUUCACAACGGGCAAGAGCUCGCCGGAGUUUUUUCUACUCUUGUUAUUAUGAAGUCUGAAUUUCAAAAAGAAAAAUUAAAUUA
rnacentral:misc_RNA from 1 species